GAUGAACGCUGGCGGCGUGCCUAAUACAUGCCAGUCGAGCGAACAGACGAGGAGCUUGCUCCUCUGACGUUAGCGGCGGACGGGUGAGUAACACGUGGAUAACCUACCUAUAAGACUGGGAUAACUUCGGGAAACCGGAGCUAAUACCGGAUAAUAUAUUGAACCGCAUGGUUCAAUAGUGAAAGACGGUUUUGCUGUCACUUAUAGAUGGAUCCGCGCCGCAUUAGCUAGUUGGUAAGGUAACGGCUUACCAAGGCGACGAUGCGUAGCCGACCUGGGAGGGUGAUCGGCCACACUGGAACUGAGACACGGUCCAGACUCCUACGGGAGGCAGCAGUAGGGAAUCUUCCGCAAUGGGCGAAAGCCUGACGGAGCAACGCCGCGUGAGUGAUGAAGGUCUUCGGAUCGUAAAACUCUGUUAUUAGGGAAGAACAAAUGUGUAAGUAACUAUGCACGUCUUGACGGUACCUAAUCAGAAAGCCACGGCUAACUACGUG
rnacentral:rRNA from 1 species